GCGCAUGUGGUGAAACUGGUAGACACGCUGUCUUCAGGAGGCAGUGCUUUCGGGCGUGGAGGUUCGAAUCCUCUCAUGCGCA
rnacentral:tRNA from 1 species